CAGAAAGUAGGAGAUGCAUUUUUGGUUCUGCAAAAUUUAAUCUUUUAGUAUUUUAUUAAUCAUAGCGCUAAUUAUACAUACUUUUCGUUAAAUAAAUAAGUUUUUAUAUAAAUAAUCGAAAAUGCAUAAAAGUAUUGUGGUAGCUGUGAAGAAAAAUAUGAAAUAUAGGGCUGAAUGAUGGAAUAAAAUAAUCUCAAAAAAAGAGAAGCAAAAAUAUGUUUUUCCUUUCGACGUCAUCAAUUCUUCUCAACUCAGGUGUUCAAUCAUGAAGGAUGGGUGUUUGUUGCGGAGCUGCUCCUGGAGGAGAUCUGGCAUUGCUGAGUCGCAGUUCAAUGCAGUUGGUCCAGUAACAGGAAGAUUUAGCAGUUAUCGUACCUUUAACACGUCGCGAAAAAUCGCAAAUUUCUAUUCCAGGGAAGAAACUUUCAUCUAUUGAAAGAGAUAGAGAGAGUAUGGUGUCAUCAUAUCUUUAACACGACGAAAAAAUUCACAAUAGUGUUUUUCAGUCCAUGCCCAAUAAACAAGUUGAAGGACAGGAAGGAUGUGGAGGAAGAAAAGUGGCCCCUGCAUACUUUUUUUUAAUAAAAUUUUUUGUUUUCUUUUUUAUUUUUUUUUAUAAGAUUUUUUUUAACGCUCCCGGCCUCGCGCAGAAGUGCGCGCAAGAAAGAGGGAUCCUCGGGAGCAGGCCUGAAGCGCUCGAGAAGUGGCGAUAUAACUUUUGCCCCGACGUGGGAUUCGCCGAUCGGUGAGUCGUUUUUUAUUUAACCCCUUCCCUGUUUAAAACAGUUAUUUUUUUAUCAAUUUAAUUAAAGUAGAUUUAUAAAUUGAAAAUUAAUUUUUUUAGAUAUUUUUAAUUUCUAAAUUUCUGAAUUUUUUUUACUUUUAAAAAAAGUAGAUAUAUCAUAUUGAUUCAAAAAAAAUAUUAAAAUUAAAAAAAAAACAGGGAAGGAAAAAACAACAUAGUGACACCAUUGACAAAAUUAUUAUUUUCUGGUAAUUUUAAGGAGUAAUCUAAAAAAAGCAUAUGAUAUUUUCGGAAAUUUAGCCCCUCAAAAUUUCUAACACUCCCCACAUCCUAAAAUGUUACAUGUUCUGUGGAUUACUACCUUAAUACUACGUAAACUAAUAUUAUUGUCAAUGUUCCUUUUCAUUGUUUAUAUAAUAUGUAUGUUAUUUAUUGUGUGUUUAAUAUUUUUAAUGUUUUGUAAUUUUUCUUAUCGAGUCAAAGUAAUUUUCUUUCUAUAAAAAAGUAAUUUAAACUAAAGUUAUAAAAUGUUAUUAACUUCAAAUAAUUUAAUUAAUUAAUUUUGUUAACAAUUUUUCAAUUUUGAAUAGUAAAUUUUAUUUUCAAAAGAUAAAAGUUAAUGCAUGUGGAAUUAAAAAUUAAAAGUUUUUGAUAAUUUUUUCAAUUAUGGACUAAUUAAAUGUUUUCUUUUCAGAAAAAAUCGCUCAGGUGACGGUAACGUCCCGGGACGUUAACCCUAGUGUAGGUCAUUUUGCACCUGGGCGGUAUUAGUUUCGUUUAGAAUAUAAAUGUAGGUAGAAAAUUCGGGAAAAAUAGGCAUUUAUGUUCGUUUUAAAUAUAGCAAUAGGUAGGGAAAUCGGGUGAAAAAAAUGUAAGUAAAAAACAAGUAACUGGAGUACCAGUGAAAAUGUACUUCAUCUUUUAUUAUUUUUUGUCACUAUGUUGUCUUACAUUUUAAUGUUUUGUGAAUGUUUCUUAAAUGUUUUGUGAACGUUUGAUUUAAUAGAUCAUUAUUUUCAGUUGAAUCAUCGUGGUGAGCAAUAUUUCUUUUUAAUUCUGAUAAUCAUUCAU